UUAAAAAAAGAUGUGACUGAUUCAUUAGGAAGCAUUUAUUUAGGCUCACGACACAGCUCGUACUGUAAGAAGUUGGAGGAGUUAGUGUCCCGCGUUUGACAUCUGGUAUUCGUCAUCAUUAUUGAGCUAAAUGGAGUUGAAAAUAAGGAAAAUUGUGAAGUGUGGGAUCUUUUGGAGCUUAUAGCACCAAAUAAGUGUCCUACCUUACGGGCGCCAGGUGGAGUAGGGCUGAAGAUCUUGGCCUGCAUGUCAGAGGGCAGGUUGGCAUAGAUCGGCAGGACCAGCAGCUCUGCGAUCUUCGAGCCCAGCCGCCGACAUCUGUCCUGGAGGUUCUCACAGCAGGUCUCGAUAUCCUCCUGCGAGGCAGAUAUCAAACAGAAGAAGGUAAAACUGCAAAGACAUACAAAAAAAAACGGGACACCAUUCUACCUGUCCCGUGAGGAAGACCAGAAUGUCUCCUGGAGGUUGCGUGACGUGGAUCUGCAGCACUGACACGACGCACGCCUCCAUGUAGUCCGCCUCUGGUGCCUUGAGUGAAAACAUCUCAUCAAUCAUAUCUUUUACACAGCAAACGUAGCCUUUUUCUGUUAGUCAACUUGCGCUUACUUUAGUGUAGAAGAUGUCCACGGGGAACCUUCUGCCAGGGAUCCUAAAAACGGGCGCGUCGUCAAAGUAAGUAGAGAAGCGUUCAGUGUCCAGAGUGGCGCUGGCCACCAGCACCUUCAGGUCAGGUCGGAACCUAGCGAUGUCUUUGAUCAGACCAAACAGGAUGUCUGUGUGGAGGGUUCUCUCGUGGGCCUCGUCGAUGACGAUGACGCUAAAGGAAGAACGUACAGUGUCAAAGCUGUCAUAACUUCUUUUUACACUUGUAUUCCACUUAAUAAAGUUAACGUUUCGUGUAUUUAUAAAUUAUUCUUCACCUGGUAUAACUUCAAGUGUCUGAGUGACAAUUCCUUCUUUAUUACCUAUAGCUGGCGAGGUCGGGCUCGGUGAGAAACUCUCGCAGUAGCAUGCCGUCCGUCAUGUAUUUGAUCACAGUCCUCUCAGAUGUGCAGUCCUCAAAGCGAAUACUGUAACCCACCUGAGUAUAGCAGGAAAAGUAGAACACUGAACAACUUUAAUUGACUGGUUGUAAAUGAUUCAGGUGAGAUGGCUCACCUCGUUACCGAGCUUGACGUUCAUUUCCUGCGCCACACGGGCCGCCACUGACAUCGCAGCUACUCUACGAGGCUGCGUGCAUCCAAUCUUCAAUCCACCUUUAGUGUAACCCUAAAGGAGGAUGUACGGAUCACAAUGUGCUUACAAGGAAACUUUAACUUUACUUGUUUAGGAAUUUUGCCUAUCAUUCACAAUCCCUGUGUAAGACAAGAACAAAUGUUUUUUUUGUUUUUUUAGCAUUUUUCAUAAGUGAGCCUUUGCUGAAAAGUGGCUCCUGAAGCCACUUUUCAUUGAAACUUUGUUUCUUGGGUUUAUUACUCGCCAUGACGAAAACAUUAACACGCAGGAGUCCAAAUAAUGGAAAUGCAGUAUUUGCGACCGAUAAAACGCUGAAUAAAAAAUUUCACAAACUGUACAGGAAAGUGCAUUACUUUGAAGUAGACCAAAAAGGUAUAAUUAAUCGUUUGACCGGCCAAAUAUGAACAAAACAAAACACCGGCGGAAAGCGAUAAUCGGUGAGAAAAUUUUAAAUCCGCGUCCGGGGGGGACGCAUUGACUUCCGGAAUUUUGCGUCCUUUAUGAUUUCAAUGCGUAAAAAGACACAAAAAGUGUGUUAACGCCAACACUGCUUACAUCAUUUAUAUAAAAUCAUAAUUUAGGGUGGAUCUGUGUUCUUGUCUCACAGGUUUUAUGAAUGAUUGGCAAAAUUUCCCAAAAAGUGCAGUUCCCCUUUAAUAUCAGAAUAACAGAAUGAUUGGACACCCACAUGCUCCAAGAGGUACUGUGGUAUCUGGGUGGUCUUGCCAGAGCCUGUCUCCCCCUCGAUGACCAGCAUCUGGUGCUCCUGGAUGGCAGCGAGAAGGUCCUCCCUGUAGGGAAAGAUGGGGAGGCUGCGGCGGACCUCCUGCAUGGAUUGUUUCUUCAGCUCGGCCUGGGACAGAGCUGGAGCCUCAUCUUCCUGAACACAAAUGAGACGAGGGUUAGAAUGAAGCAGCUAACUGCAAAUUGGAAACUGAUGAAUGAAUCAACAAAUGUUGCCCACCUUCUCUGUCAGUGUUCCUUUCAUGGUAAUAGCAGUGCUGACAAAGUCGAUCAUCUCCUCCUCCUCCAAGAUCAGCUGGUACUUCUCUUGCUGCCGCCUCAUCCCUUGCUCUCGCUCCUUCUUGGCCCCAAAGCUGAGCGAGGCCGUCUUCAGUCUCUCCUCCUCCCAGCGGCCCUGCUCUCCUCCCAGCUCCAUGGGCACUUCCUCCAGCUCCAGCUCCUCCUUUUGAGGAACCUCCUGAAAGAGGAACAGACGGAGGAGGUGAGAGGAUACAUAUAGGGUUUCUGCACGUAUCAGCAUAUCUAAUUUAAUGCUUUUAAUGCCUUUUUAAUGCCACCUAAAACAAAUGUAAUGCCCAGGUCACACUGCAGAUAGUGUCAAAAAGAAAUACAUUUUCAAACGAAUUACUUUUCUUAUUUGUAAUGAUUCUUAAUUGGUUAAUUUGUUUUAAUUUUCUUAAAUCUGUCGUGUCCAGCCACAUAUUGUUGAUGUACUUUUGUAGAUGAUCAUAUCUGCUGUAUAGAUUUACAUUAGACAAGAUAAGUGUGGAAUACUUUAUUAAACAAAAACUGUUUUCUUUUAAGUAAUAUAGAAAUGUAUCAGAGUUGUUUAUCUAUUUUUUGUAGGAAUGUACAAAGUUGGUAGUUAAUCAUAGCACUGGUACCCAUUGUUAUCAAAAGUAUGGAUUUUGAAUCAGGAGUUGUUUUGAAUCAAGAAUUGAUUCUGAAUUGAAUAGUUACUCCCAAGAAUCGAAUUGAAUCGUGUGGUGCCCAAAGAUUCACAGACCUACUAGUUAUUAUGCAUAGUCAAAAUCUUAUAGUUAUUUAUAUAGACAAAAUUGUAAGACAAUAAUAAUCAUGAAUGCUUUAAAGGGACAAGCGGUAGAAAAUAGAUGGAUGGAUGGGUUAAAAUGUUUACAUUAACUGUAACUCUUUAGUGAAUUAGAAUGGUUUUACAGGACUGUUUAAUCUGAGAAUUAUUUUUUAAAUGUAUUUUUCUAUAUGGGUAGCAGCAGCUAACAGUUGUGGUGGCAACAGCAGACGUUGCUUUGUUGGUCACACUAACUGCUGCCUUCCUUUAAUUGCAGAUUAGUUAAUAGCAUCGAAGCCCAUUGAGCAAGGUUUUAAGGUUCGCAGGGUGUAGCAUUCUAAACACCGGCUGGAGAAAAUUGCCAAUUAAAAGGUUCCACCUGUCAAUCAUCAUACUGUACUUCCAAUUAAAAUGAUCAAAUGCUUAAAUAAUCAAUAAAAAAAAGGAGAACAACAAUGUUUUUACCAUCAAUUGUGUAAGCCGCAACAGAGACCUGCCAGUGUGGCUGGGCCAUGUGCACGUUGGUAGACGACACUCCCUUAAGAGCAGUGCUGGAUAACGAGUUGACAGCCCAGGUUUUUAGCUGGGGCGCUAGCACGCUGCAUUUGUAAGACCCAGGUUCGAGUCCCGGGCUGGCGGAAAGCAGGGGCUGAGCUAGGCGAGAAUUGUAUGACAUUUUUUAAUGCCUCUGAACAUCAAAAUUGUAAUGUUUUAUUGCCAUUAAAGGCCUUCAUUUUUGCAAAAUCCAUGUAAUGGCUUUUAGUGCUUUUCAAUGACCUGCCAUUGCUAUUGCAUUGACAAGAACUAACCUCCUCUGAUAAGAUGUUCCACAGGUCACCUACCUUUCUUCUGUUCUCCUCCGGCAUGUAGUAUCUAUUCUUCCUCUCCUCCUGCUCCCGAGCACCGGCCUUUUUGUAAUCUUUGGCCAGGUCGCGCAGCGUGCGUUUGUACUCUAGCUCUUUCCUCUCCCUCUCCGACAGAUC